GGGCGAUUAGCUCAGAUGGUUAGAGCGCUUCCUUCACACGGAAGAGGCCACAGGUUCGAGUCCUGUAUCGCCCA
rnacentral:tRNA from 1 species